UACGUAGGGGGCUAGCGUUGUCCGGAAUCAUUGGGCGUAAAGGGUUCGCAGGCGGAACUGCAAGUCAGAUGUAAAAGGCAGUAGCUUAACUACUGUAAGCAUUUGAAACUGCAUAUCUUGAGAAUGGUAGAGGUAAGUGGAAUUUUUAGUGUAGCGGUGAAAUGCGUAGAUAUUAAAAAGAAUACCAGUGGCGAAGGCGACUUACUGGGCCCAUACUGACGCUGAGGAACGAAAGCGUGGGGAGCGAACAGG
rnacentral:rRNA from 1 species